UACGUAGGGUGCAAGCGUUAAUCGGAAUUACUGGGCGUAAAGCGCGCGUAGGCGGCUUUGCAAGUCGGGUGUGAAAUCCCCAGGCUUAACCUGGGAACUGCAUUCGAGACUGCAUUGCUAGAGUAUGGGAGAGGGAAGUGGAAUUUCCGGUGUAGCGGUGAAAUGCGUAGAUAUCGGAAGGAACAUCAGUGGCGAAAGCGACUUCCUGGACCAAUACUGACGCUCAUGCACGAAAGCAUGGGGAGCGAACAGG
rnacentral:rRNA from 1 species